CACGUAGGGGGCAAGCGUUGUCCGGAUUUAUUGGGCGUAAAGAGCUCGUAGGCGGUUCGGUAGGUCGGGUGUGAAACCUCCAGGCUCAACCUGGAGACGCCACCCGAUACUGCUGUGACUAGAGUCCGGUAGGGGAGCGUGGAAUUCCUGGUGUAGCGGUGAAAUGCGCAGAUAUCAGGAGGAACACCAGCGGCGAAGGCGGCGCUCUGGGCCGGAACUGACGCUGAGGAGCGAAAGCGUGGGGAGCAAACAGG
rnacentral:rRNA from 1 species